rnacentral:rRNA from 1 species
AUUGAACGCUGGCGGCAGGCCUAACACAUGCAAGUCGAACGAGUGGCGGACGGGUGAGUAAUGUAUGGGAAACUGCCCGAUGGAGGGGGAUAACUACUGGAAACGGUAGCUAAUACCGCAUACCAUCGGAUGUGCCCAGAUGGGAUUAGCUUGUAGGUGAGGUAACGGCUCACAUAGGCGACGAUCCCUAGCUGGUCUGAGAGGAUGACGAGACACACUGGAAAGUAGACACGGGCCAGGCGCGUACGUGAGGCAGCAGUGGGGAAGAGUGCAAAAUGGGCGCAAGCAUGAUGCAGCCAUGCCGCGUGGAGGAAGAAGGCCGUCGGGUUGUAAAGUACUUUCAGCGGGGAGGCGUUACCCGCAGAAGAAGCACCGGCUAACGCCGUGCCAGCAGCCGCGGUAAUUC